GCCUUCAUCUGCACUGCAUCAUGAAAAUGGUGUGAUCUACAGCUCUGUAGAUGCAGCUACCAAAAACAACACUGUCUCUCCAGCAGGUGGCAAUGAUUGGGUGAUCUACAGCUCUGUGGUCACUAAUUGAGAGGUGUAAGCAGAUGGAUUUCUGGAGCAGAGAGGGUGCUGUAAUACAAGUAACGUGCAAAAUGAAUAUAGACUAUAGAUUAUCUGGCAUGUACAUGUACUCUUUUCCUUAGUCCUAUUAUG